rnacentral:rRNA from 1 species
GACAGAGGUGGCGAGCGUUGUUCGGAUUUAUUGGGCGUAAAGCGAACGCAGGUGGUUUGGUAAGUCAGAGGUGAAAGUCCAUGGCUUAACCGUGGCACUGCCUUUGAUACUGCCUUUCUUGAGUAGAGUAGGGGGAAGCGGAAUUCCGAGUGUAGAGGUGAAAUUCGUAGAUAUUCGGAGGAACACCGGUGGCGAAGGCGGCUUCCUGGACUCUAACUGACACUCAUGUUCGAAAGCGUGGGGAGCAAACAGG